AAUUUUAUUACCAAAAUAAGGUGAGGCGGAGGACUUCAGGCAUGCCCUAAAGACACAACAUGCAGUCCUCAAGGGCAGAUCGGAGAAGGCGGCCCUUCACGAAGUGAUAGCUCCAAGAUGGGGACAGGGACUGUAUUUGGUUCUAUACUCCGACACAUAACAUCGGUACGUACGUGAGACUGCUGGACGAGUGUAUGUUCUUUCAGGCAGAGCUCUGUGCCAUAACGAUAGCCGCAAAAGAAAUUCUGAAAAGUCAUUUCAACUGAACCUGAACUAUUGACAAUAAAUUGUAAAAAUUUGCACAGAGAAAUCGCAAAACACAAAAAUAAAGUUUUUGGUUUUAAAA